rfam:TPA: Bos taurus chromosome 25, whole genome shotgun sequence.
UGGGGCAGCCGCUGUCCCUGUCCUCCAGGAGCUCACUUGGUCCGGCCGUGCGCUCCUCGAGGCCAGAGCCCGUGUCUGCUUCCCGCCAGC